GGAAUAUUGGUCAAUGGACGCAAGUCUGAACCAGCCAUGCCGCGUGAAGGAUGAAGGUCCUCUGGAUUGUAAACUUCUUUUAUCUGGGACGAAAACGGGAUUUUUAUCUCAAUUGACGGUACCAGAGGAAUAAGCACCGGCUAACUCCGUGCCAGCAGCCGCGGUCAUACGGAUGGUGCAAGCGUUAUCCGGAUUCACUGGGUUUAAAGGGUGCGUAGGUGGGCAGAUAAGUCAGUGGUGAAAUCUUCCGGCUUAACCGGGAAACUGCCGUUGAUACUAUUUGUCUUGAAUGUUGCGGAGGUGAGCGGAAUAUGUCAUGUAGCGGUGAAAUGCUUAGAUAUGACAUAGAACACCAAUUGCGAAGGCAGCUUACUACACAAUCAUUGACACUGAGGCACGAAAGCGUGGGUAGCGAACA
rnacentral:rRNA from 1 species